rnacentral:misc_RNA from 1 species
GAUGAAGAACGCAGCGAAAUGCGAUAAGUAAUGUGAAUUGCAGAAUUCAGUGAAUCAUCGAAUCUUUGAACGCACAUUGCGCCCCCCAGUAUUCUGGCGGGCAUGCCUGUUCGAGCGUCAUUUCAACCAUCAAGCCCUGCUUGUGUUGGGGUCCUGCGGCUGCCCGCAGGCCCUGAAAACCAGUGGCGGGCUCGCUAGUCACACCGAGCGCAGUAGCACAUCUCGCUCAGGGCGUGCGGCGGGCCCCAGCCGUUAAAGCACCCACCUUUCGCAAGGUUGACCUCGGAUCAGGUAGGAAUACCCGCUGAACUUAAGCAUAUCAAUAACGGAGGA